UCGAGCGAGCAGAGAUUCUUCGGAUGCUGCUGAGCGGCGGACGGGUGAGUAACGCGUGGGUACCUGCCCCAUACCGGGGGAUAACAGCUGGAAACGGCUGCUAAUACCGCAUAAGGCUGCAUGGCAAAAACUCCGGUGGUGUAAGAUGGACCCGCGUCUGAUUAGGUAGUUGGUGGGGUAACGGCCCACCAAGCCGACGAUCAGUAGCCGACCUGAGAGGGUGACCGGCCACAUUGGGACUGAGACACGGCCCAAACUCCUACGGGAGGCAGCAGUGGGGAAUAUUGGACAAUGGGCGAAAGCCUGAUCCAGCGACGCCGCGUGAGGAAGAAGUAUUUCGGUAUGUAAACUCUAUCAGCAGGGAAGAAAAUGACGGUACCUGACUAAGAAGCCCCGGCUAACUACGUGCCAGCAGCCGCGGUAAUACGUAGGGGGCAAGCGUUAUCCGGAUUUACUGGGUGUAAAGGGAGCGUAGACGGUUAAGCAAGUCUGAAGUGAAAGCCCGGGGCUCAACCCGGUACUGCUUUGGAAACUGUUUGACUUGAGUGCAGGAGAGGUAAGUGGAAUUCCUAGUGUAGCGGUGAAAUGCGUAGAUAUUAGGAGGAACACCAGUGGCGAAGGCGGCUUACUGGACUGUAACUGACGUUGAGGCUCGAA
rnacentral:rRNA from 1 species